AUGGUUGCUUUUAAAUUUAUAUACUAAACUUGGAAUGAUAUAGACAGAAAAGCUUAGCAUGGCCCCAGUGCAAGAGUGACAUUCAAAUUUAUGAAACAUUCCCUAUUUUU
ensembl:snRNA U6 U6 spliceosomal RNA